rnacentral:rRNA from 1 species
UACAGGGGGUGCAAACGUUGCUCGGAAUUAUUGGGCGUAAAGCGCGCGUAGGCGGUGACUCAAGUCGGAUGUGAAAGCCCUCGGCUUAACCGAGGAAGUGCAUCCGAAACUGAGUCGCUAGAGUACGAUAGAGGGUCGCGGAAUUCCCGGUGUAGAGGUGAAAUUCGUAGAUAUCGGGAGGAACACCGGUGGCGAAGGCGGCGACCUGGGUCGAUACUGACGCUGAGGCGCGAAGGCGUGGGGAGCAAACAGG